rnacentral:lncRNA from 10 species
CCCGCCACCUUAAAGAGCUGUAACACUCACUGUGAAGGUCUGCGGCUUCACUCCUGAAGUCAGCGAGACCACGAACGCACCAGAAGGAAGAAACUCCCCACACAUGUGAACAUCUGAAGGAACAAACUCCCGACACUCCAUCUUCAAGAACUGUAACACUCACCGUGAGGGUCUGCAGCUUCAUUCUUGAAGUCAGCAAGACCAAGAACCCACCAGAAGAAACCAAUUCCGGCCACAGUGUCUCCUUGGCUUACUGUGGAAAAACUCAAGGGGAGAUUAUUCUCUGAAAAAUCUUACCAGGAGAAAAGAAAAUCAGACAAAUGAUGUGCUCUCAUUUAUUCUUCACUUUAAUCCUAAAGGAGGUGAAAAUCUGACAGCUCAAAAUGAAGCAAAAACCCAAGAUUAAAACAGACACCAUUUUGUGCCCACUCAGUCUUCUUUCCAGGGUCAUACAUGUGGUUUAUAACCGCACUUCUACAUUCUAUUAUGAGGGCAAGAGUUGUGGCUGCUAUAUAAAUGCUUCCUAGCAUAGUUCCUGACAACUAGGUGAUUCAUGAAUAUUUGCUGAAGAAAUAAAAAUAACUUUAUGAACAUCGUUACACAUCCUGCUUAAUUUUUCAAUUCGCAUAAUUUUUUUCUGUAUAUCCUCUAAUUUAAUACUAUUUCAUAGUUAUGGUAUUUGUUAAAGGAAUAUAAAACAUCAAUACGCAGCAAUAGAUCAACUGU